rnacentral:rRNA from 1 species
UGCUAUACUGCAAGUCGAGCGAACAGACGAGGAGCUUGCUCCUCUGACGUUAGCGGCGGACGGGUGAGUAACACGUGGAUAACCUACCUAUAAGACUGGGAUAACUUCGGGAAACCGGAGCUAAUACCGGAUAAUAUAUUGAACCGCAUGGUUCAAUAGUGAAAGACGGUUUUGCUGUCACUUAUAGAUGGAUCCGCGCCGCAUUAGCUAGUUGGUAAGGUAACGGCUUACCAAGGCAACGAUGCGUAGCCGACCUGAGAGGGUGAUCGGCCACACUGGAACUGAGACACGGUCCAGACUCCUACGGGAGGCAGCAGUAGGGAAUCUUCCGCAAUGGGCGAAAGCCUGACGGAGCAACGCCGCGUGAGUGAUGAAGGUCUUCGGAUCGUAAAACUCUGUUAUUAGGGAAGAACAAAUGUGUAAGUAACUAUGCACGUCUUGACGGUACCUAAUCAGAAAGCCACGGCUAACUACGUGCCAGCAGCCGCGGUAAUACGUAGGUGGCAAGCGUUAUCCGGAAUUAUUGGGCGUAAAGCGCGCGUAGGCGGUUUUUUAAGUCUGAUGUGAAAGCCCACGGCUCAACCGUGGAGGGUCAUUGGAAACUGGAAAACUUGAGUGCAGAAGAGGAAAGUGGAAUUCCAUGU